rnacentral:rRNA from 1 species
GAUGAACGCUGGCGGCGUGCUUAAUACAUGCAAGUCGAGCGAACAGAUGAGGAUCUUGCUCCUCUCACGUUAGCGGCGGACGGGUGAUUAACACGUGCAUAACCUACCUAUAAGACUGGGAUAACGUCGGGAAAGCGGAGCUAAUAUCGGAUCAUAUAUUGAACCGCAUGGUUCAAUAGUCAAAGUCGGUCUUGAUGUCACUUAUAGUUGGAUCCGGGCUGCAUUAGCUAGUUGGUAAGGUAACGGCUUACCAAGGCGACGAUGCGUAGCCGACCUGCGAGAGGGCUCGGCGACACAGGAACUGAGACACGCGGCAGAGUCCUACGGGAGGCGCAGGAGUGGGAUCUUCCGCACUAGGCGAAAACCUGACAGAGCAACGCCGCGUGUGAGAUGAAAAUCUUCGGAUCGUGAAACUCUGUUAUUAGGGAAAAAAAAAUGUAGAGGUUACUAUGCUCUUCUUGACGGUACCUCAUCAGAAAGCCACGGGUAAAAACGUG